GACAGAGGGUGCAAACGUUGUUCGGAAUUACUGGGCGUAAAGCGCGUGUAGGCGGCAGGGCAUGUCGGAUGUGAAAUCCCGUGGCUCAACCACGGAAGUGCACCCGAAACUGCCCAGCUUGAGUCUCGGAGAGGAAGGCGGAAUGCUUGGUGUAGAGGUGAAAUUCGUAGAUAUCAAGCGGAACACCGGUGGCGAAGGCGGCCUUCUGGACGAUGACUGACGCUGAGACGCGAAAGCGUGGGAGCAAACAGG
rnacentral:rRNA from 1 species